rnacentral:rRNA from 1 species
GAUGAACGCUGGCGGCGUGCCUAAUACAUGCAAGUCGAGCGAACAGACGAGGAGCUUGCUCCUCUGACGUUAGCGGCGAACGGGUGAGUAACACGUGGAUAACCUACCUAUAAUACUGGGAUAACUUCGGGAAACCGGAGCUAAUACCGGAUAAUAUAUUGAACCGCAUGGUUCAAUAGUGAAAGACGGUUUUGCUGUCACUUAUAGAUGGAUCCGCGCCGCAUUAGCUAGUUGGUAAGGUAACGGCUGACCAAGGCAACGAUGCGUAGCCGACCUGAGAGGGUGAUCGGCCACACUGGAACUGAGACACGGUCCAGACUCCUACGGGAGGCAGCAGUAGGGAAUCUUCAGCAAUGGGCGAAAGCCUGACGGAGCAACGCCGCGUGAGUGAUGAAGGUCUUCGGAUCGUAAAACUCUGUUAUUAGGGAAGAACAAAUGUGUAAGUAACUAUGCACGUCUGGACGGUACCUAAUCAGAAAGCCACGGCUAACUACGUG